rnacentral:sRNA from 1 species
AAAAUUUCAGAAUUCCAAGAAAUUUCAAAAUUCCAAGAAAUUUCAAAAUUCCAAAAA